AGCGAACGCUGGCGGCAGGCCUAACACAUGCAAGUCGAACGGAUCCUUCGGGAUUAGUGGCGGACGGGUGAGUAACACGUGGGAACGUGCCCUUUGGUUCGGAACAACUCAGGGAAACUUGAGCUAAUACCGGAUGUGCCCUUCGGGGGAAAGAUUUAUCGCCAUCGGAGCGGCCCGCGUCUGAUUAGCUAGUUGGUGAGGUAAAGGCUCACCAAGGCGACGAUCAGUAGCUGGUCUGAGAGGAUGAUCAGCCACAUUGGGACUGAGACACGGCCCAAACUCCUACGGGAGGCAGCAGUGGGGAAUCUUGCGCAAUGGGCGAAAGCCUGACGCAGCCAUGCCGCGUGAAUGAUGAAGGUCUUAGGAUUGUAAAACUCUUUCACCGGGGACGAUAAUGACGGUACCCGGAGAAGGAGCCCCGGCUAACUUCGUGCCAGCAGCCGCCGCAGUAA
rnacentral:rRNA from 1 species